GGCCUGAUGGUCUAGUAGUAUGAUUCUUCCUUCGGGUGUCUGCCCAGUCAGAGCUGCUGACUAAGCAUGGAAGAGGUCCCGGGUUCAAUUCCCGGUCAGGCCC